UUUGUUUUUGUUUUUGUUUUGUUUUUUUUUUUAGUAUAAUUCCAAGAAAACCAACAGUUCUGGGACUGUAAACAUUCUCUCAGGUAGACUUGGUGACCAAAACUUUACAUAUCACUUAGGAUCAGGAGCAGAAUUAUCUACAGUGUUAGAAUUCUAGCGGUGACAUAACAAACACCACCGAGUGUGUGGCCUGAACAGCGGAAGUUCAUUUUCUCACAAUAAGUCGUGCAAACUGAGGCCAGCUCCAGGCUUCCAGUGAGUGACCAGGACUGUGAGAAACCUGUUCAGUGACAACCACUGAAAGAAGCAAGUAGAGGGAGCACGUGUCACACCCAUCAUAUCUCUAGAGCGGUCCUGGGCUCCAGUUCUUCAAAUAACUACACAGGGUGUAGAAGCAGAGCAUGAAGGUGAGAUCUUGACCUCAUAUAAGGACAAAAUAGAAACAGUUUCAAGCUGGAACUCGAGGAAAUAACAGAGAACAGAACACACAAGAAAGCACAGUGAGAGCUGGAGUUCUCAGAAGGCCUUCCCCAGACAGAAGACGACUUCGUGCCUGCCCUUGGGAAGCAGUGGUCAUCUCAUAACUCCCAGAGGAAGCACAGACUCACAGGCUGCCUGCAACCCGAGAAUCCCCAGGAGAACGUGCAGGAGGGUCUCCAUGUCUCCACUCUGCAGCAGAGAUGCUCAAUCUGAUUAUGCUGAGAGGCUUCCCCAGGAGGAAUUCCUUGAGCUCAUUGGUCCAGGGCGCUGCACCAAACAGAGCUCUCCUGAGUGCCUGCUAUCAGUGCUCCUUAAUCUCACUGACACUUUCUAGCUAAACAGCGCCACCCUUUGGCUAAGUAGAGAAGUGUUGAGUAAUGGAUGACUUUUCUGGGAGGUAUCAUCUAUUUAGUGUGAUACAUCAUUCAACUUAUUAUGAAAGUAAAAAUCAUUCAGUUUA